CGAUUAUUUAGCUCAAGGCAGUAAAGCUUCCCCGUUCCUCUGCAGCAUCCUUGCCAGAUCCAGCAAGUAGUCCAUAUCAUUGAAAACUCUGUGUAUCACACAAAGGGAGUGGAAAAGGCUCCAUACAGUCUUAAUCCUGAGAAUGGGUGGACGCGAGUGAUGGCUUUCACGCUACAGCUGCUUUACCCCGAGGAAAAGAGCUCCUGGUACCCAAUGGAUAGAAACAUGGGUAGGAUCCGCGGUCAGAGUGGACACAAUGGCAAACAGAAUCAUCCCUGCCCCUACAGGAAUUAUAAACUAGUAUCGAUAAAAAUGUUACAAAUUGUAACUGUAGAAUAACCACUUACAGCCAAUACCAUGUUAGCCAAAUAAAUUAUUAGUUAUUUUCAUAUCACCAUAAUAAAAAAAUUAAAGAAAUAAUAAAAGGUACCCACUUUAAUAAUGUUA